rnacentral:misc_RNA from 1 species
GUAGGUGAACCUGCGGAAGGAUCAUUACUGUGAUUGCCCCUUCCCUGGAAGGUGUGCAAGCCAUCCUUGUGUUGUGUGUGAAUGUAGUAUGUGCACACCUGUGCAUUUAUGCUGGGUGUGCAUGUGCACUUUUUUUUUACCCGUAUACAUUUAUUUCUGAUAUUCAUGCUCGCAAGAGCACCAAACAACAAUCGAAAACUGCCAGCAAUGGAUCACUCGGUUCUCGCAUCGAUGAAGAACGCAGCAUCUG